AUGGCUGUCGUCAGCUCGUGUCGUGAGAUGUUGGGUUAAGUCCCGCAACGAGCGCAACCCACGUCUUUAGUUGCCAGCAUUCAGUUGGGCACUCUAGAGAGACCGCCGGUGAUAAACCGGAGGAAGGUGUGGAUGACGUCAAGUCAUCAUGCCCCUUACAUCCUGGGCUACACACGUACUACAAUGCUACGGACAAAGGGCAGCAAACUCGCGAGAGCUAGCAAAUCCCAUAAACCGUGGCUCAGUUCAGAUCGUAGGCUGCAACUCGCCUACGUGAAGGAGGAAUCGCUAGUAAUCGCAGGUCAGCAUACUGCGGUGAAUACGUUCCCGGGCCUUGUACACACCGCCCGUCGCACCAUGGAAGUUGGCCAUGCCCGAAGUCGUUACUCCAACCCGCAAGGGAGGAGGACGCCGAAGGUGGGGCUGAUGACUGGGGUGAAGUCGUAACAAGGUAGCCGUACCGGAAGGUGCGGCUGGAUCACCUCCUAAC
rnacentral:rRNA from 1 species